rnacentral:rRNA from 1 species
GUAAGGCUUUCACAGAUUAUUUGAACGGAUAAGUCCAUUUUUAAAUGGAUACUGUUUGAAGACGAUCUUUCCCGGCUGGGAAAAAUUGGUCGAAUAAUGUGUGAAAGUACACGAGCGGCGAACGGCUGAGUAACGCGUAGGAACGUACCCCAAAGUGAGGGAUAAGCUCUGGAAACAGAGUCUAAUACCGCAUAUGAUCUAAGGAUUAAAGCCCCCCGGGGCGCUUUGGGAGCGGCCUGCGUAAGAUUAGUUUGUUGGUGAGGUAAUGGCUCACCAAGACUACGAUCUUUAGCUGGUCUGAGAGGAUGAUCAGCCGGACUGGUACUGAGACACGGACCAGACUCCUACGGGAGGCAGCAGUGAGGAAUAUUGGACAAUGGGCGCAAGCCUGAUCCAGCCAUGCCGCGUGCAGGAAGAAGCAUCUAUGGUGUGUAAACUGCUUUUGUACAGGAAGAAACAUCCCGACGUGUCGGGACUUGACGGUACUGUAAGAAUAAGGAUCGGCUAACUCCGUGCCAGCAGCCGCGGUAAUACGGAGGAUCCAAGCGUUAUCCGGAAUCAUUGGGUUUAAAGGGUCCGUAGGCGGCUUGGUAAGUCAGUGGUGAAAGCCCGCAGCUCAACUGUGGAACGGCCAUUGAUACUGCCAGACUUGAAUUACAAGGAAGUAACUAGAAUAUGUAGUGUAGCGGUGAAAUGCUUAGGUAUUACAUGGAAUACCAAUUGCGAAGGCAGGUUACUACUUGUGGAUUGACGCUGAUGGACGAAAGCGUGGGGGAGCGAACAGGAUUAGAUACCCUGGGU